rnacentral:tRNA from 1 species
AAAAUCCGUCGAUCUUUUAAAUCGUGAGGGUUCAAGUCCCUCUAUCCCCA